UGCCUUCGGGAACUCUGACACAGGUGCUGCAUGGCUGUCGUCAGCUCGUGUCGUGAGAUGUUGGGUUAAGUCCCGUAACGAGCGCAACCCUUGUCCUUAGUUACCAGCACGUUAUGGUGGGCACUCUAAGGAGACUGCCGGUGACAAACCGGAGGAAGGUGGGGGAUGACGUCAAGUCAUCAUGGCCCUUACGGCCUGGGCUACACACGUGCUACAAUGGUCGGUACAAAGGGUUGCCAAGCCGCGAGGUGGAGCUAAUCCCAUAAAACCGAUCGUAGUCCGGAUCGCAGUCUGCAACUCGACUGCGUGAAGUCGGAAUCGCUAGUAAUCGUGAAUCAGAAUGUCACGGUGAAUACGUUCCCGGGCCUU
rnacentral:rRNA from 1 species